AGCGAACGCUGGCGGCAGGCUUAACACAUGCAAGUCGAGCGGGCACUUUCGGGUGUCAGCGGCGGACGGGUGAGUAACGCGUGGGAACGUGCCCUCUGGUUCGGAAUAACUCAGGGAAACUUGAGCUAAUACCGGAUACGCCCUUUUGGGGAAAGGCUUGCUGCCGGAGGAUCGGCCCGCGUCUGAUUAGCUAGUUGGUGAGGUAACGGCUCACCAAGACGACGAUCAGUAGCUGGUCUGAGAGGAUGAUCAGCCACACUGGGACUGAGACACGGCCCAGACUCCUACGGGAGGCAGCAGUGGGGAAUAUUGGACAAUGGGCGCAAGCCUGAUCCAGCCAUGCCGCGUGAGUGAUGAAGGCCUUAGGGUUGUAAAGCUCUUUUAUCCGGGACGAUAAUGACGGUACCGGAGGAAUAAGCCCCGGCUAACUUCGUG
rnacentral:rRNA from 1 species